rnacentral:rRNA from 1 species
AACGAACGCUGGCGGCAUGCCUAACACAUGCAAGUCGAACGCCUGUAGCAAUACAGGAGUGGCGCACGGGUGAGUAACGCGUGGGAACCUGCCCUGGAGUGGGGGAUAACCGAGAGAAAUUUCGGCUAAUACCGCAUACGUCCUGAGGGAGAAAGAUUUAUCGCUCUAGGAGGGGCCCGCGUCGGAUUAGCUAGUUGGUGGGGUAACGCCUACCAAGGCAACGAUCCGUAGCNGGUCUGAGAGGAUGAUCAGCCACACUGGGACUGAGACACGGCCCAGACUCCUACGGGAGGCAGCAGUGGGGAAUAUUGGACAAUGGGGGAAACCCUGAUCCAGCAAUGCCGCGUGAGUGAUGAAGGCCUUAGGUUGUAAGCUCUUUCGGCGGGGACGAAAAGGUCCGUGUUAACACCACGGACUCAUGACGUACAGCAGAAGAAGCACCGGCUAACUACGUGCCAG